rnacentral:rRNA from 1 species
GAUGAACGCUGGCGGCGUGCCUAAUACAUGCAAGUCGAGCGAACAGACGAGGAGCUUGCUCCUCUGACGUUAGCGGCGGACGGGUGAGUAACACGUGGAUAACCUACCUAUAAGACUGGGAUAACUUCGGGAAACCGGAGCUAAUACCGGAUAAUAUAUUGAACCGCAUGGUUCAAUAGUGAAAGACGGUUUUGCUGUCACUUAUAGAUGGAUCCGCGCCGCAUUAGCUAGUUGGUAAGGUAACGGCUUACCAAGGCAACGAUGCGUAGCCGACCUGAUAGGGUGAUCGGCCACACUGGAACUUAGACACGGUCCAGACUCCUACGGUAGGCAGCAGUAGGGAAUCUUCCGCAAUGGGCGAAAGCCUGACGGAGCAACGCCGCGUGAGUGAUGAAGGUCUUCGGAUCGUAAAACUCUGUUAUUAGUGAAGAACAAAUGUGUAAGUAACUAUGCACGUCUUGACGGUACCUGAUCAGAAAGCCACGGCUAACUACGUG